rnacentral:rRNA from 1 species
UACGGAGGGUGCAAGCGUUGUCCGGAAUCACGUGGGCGUAAAGGGCGCGUAGGUGGCGGCCCAGUCCAUGGUGAAAGCUCGAUGCUCAACAUCGAGUCGGCCACGGAUACUGGGUUGCUCGAGCACUGUAGGGGCAGAUGGAAUUCCGGGUGUAGCGGUGGAAUGCGUAGAGAUCCGGAAGAACACCGGUGGCGAAGGCGGUCUGCUGGGCG